AUAAUGGGUUAGGUAAAUGUUUCAUGAUAAGAAUAUCAUGUCUUUUGUAUUAAAAAAUUAAAUGGAUGAAAUAUGAAGUUUUAUUAAAAGAAAAAGGGGUGAAAAGAACAAAGUUUUGUCCAUCUUUGUUCAUCAUAGCUGAAAGUUAGAGAAGAGAAAGGAGAGGAGAAAGCUCUUGAGUAUUAGGUCAUUAGGAGGAGGAAAAUUGAAGGCGGUUCGUGUGUGGAUCUCGUCAGCAUAUCAUCGCAAACAGGAAAUCCCCAACCAUAGUGGGCUUGGAGCUGUGAGGGAAUUUGGAGUGGCCACCCGUUCUGAAAGUUUGAUUUUCUUUUGGUGAACUGGACAUCCUUUUAUUUACGUUUGAAGUUUUGGGUUUUUAAAUGUAAUAAGGCCGCUUAAUUAUUUUU